CAGAUCAUGCCUAGGGUCAUCUGUUAUUUACAUUAACAGUAUAUUUGUGCAAUUCAAUUUGAUCUGA
rnacentral:tRNA from 1 species